UCACAGCAAGCUGAGAAGUUUAUAUAUCCAUAAUGUCCUGUUUGGUUGUCUAACUAUAAUACCCUUCUUCAUAGGAUGUGUCAUAUAUACUUCAUCAUCUUUUGCAGGUUGUGUCUUAAUUUGGUCAUCUUUACUUAGACUCUUCACAUUGUCCUUUUCAUAUUCAUUAUCUACUCUUAUCUUAUCAGUUCCUUGUGAUUUGCUACAGAACCUGUGACAAGAAGACAU